AACCUCCCGGGCCACCCGGCCUGCGGCGGAAUGUUGCGUAAAGGGAAAGGUCGUAGUCAAACCCCACAGCCACGCGAACUCUAAGUCAGCCACGAAUAGGCUAUCCCAACUAACGGCGGGAAAGACUCCACGGAGGGUGUAAGACCCGUAUGGGCGCGUGUCAAAGCUGUGUGGGCUCGGCCUCUCUUCCCUGAGAGUCGCGUUGCUUGAGCAUGCAGCGCUAAGCAGGUCGUAAACUCGAUCUAAGGCUAAAUAUCUCCACAGAACCGAUAGCGAACAAGUACCGUGAGGGAAAGUUGAAAAGCACUCUGGAGAGAGAGUCAAAAGACCGUGAAACCGCUCAGAGUAUAAGCCCAUGGCAGCUUGGAAGGCAUAUCGCUAGCGGGGCAUCGGUCUCCCUUCGCGGGGAGUCGGUGUUACCUUGCUUCUGUUGUGGCUCGUUAUGGUAGGGGGGUCAAGUCCACAUCCCGCCAUCGUGUGGGGAGUUUCUGGGCGUGUCGUUGCUUUGCGGUUGACUUCGGUUGGCCGUAGGGCUCUUCGCGCUUGGGGCUUCUUUGUACACGGACGUUCAGACUCACUUGCAAGACGCGAUAACCAGCCCACCACGGCACGUUAUGAGGUCACCCUCAGGCUCAGCUUUUGAUUGUGGUCCUUGACGCCGAGCAAGCAUAAUGCGUGUCGCAGAUGUUCCUAACCUGACAAUGUUUGUCGGACAGUGGAACGACACGCGCUCAACAGUCAGGACCGGGCGAUGACAGAGUUCUGGUAUGAUCCUCUUGUGACGAGCCGGCUUCUGGCCGAGUUCCGAUGCUCAGGUCUCCCGCAUGUGCCGCGGGAGAUCGCCUUGACGGUCUGGACCUUGACAAGUCCUCUCAGUCGGGCAACGGAAAGAGUGGUGUAAAGUCCAAGCCCAUCGGUCACGUCUCGAAACACGGGCCAAGGAGUAUAGCAUGUGUGCAAGUCUAAGGGUCUCACAAAACUCGAAGGCAAAGUGAAAGCAAGUAAGCGGCGGGUGAUCUACACAGGGAUCCCGUCAGCUAGAGGUUCCCUCGGGUUCCUCCGGCUUUGGCAGAGUUGAUCCUGCAGCGGUACCGCAUACGUACGCUCAGGCGCAAACUCCAGGCUCACGUUUCGCACUGGUUCACGGACUGUGCUGUGAGCACUGUGGAGCAUGCAUGCUAUGACCCGAAAGAUAGUGAACUAUGCCUGGCGAGGGCGAAGCCCCAGGAAACUGGGGUGGAGGCCCGUAGCCGUUGUGACGUGCAAAUCCAU
rnacentral:rRNA from 1 species